GGGAUCGCCCUUAGAGUUUGAUCCUGGCUCAGGACGAACGCUGGCGGCGUGCCUAAUACAUGCAAGUCGAGCGGACAGAAGGGAGCUUGCUCCCGGAUGUUAGCGGCGGACGGGUGAGUAACACGUGGGUAACCUGCCUGUAAGACUGGGAUAACUCCGGGAAACCGGAGCUAAUACCGGAUAGUUCCUUGAACCGCAUGGUUCAAGGAUGAAAGACGGUUUCGGCUGUCACUUACAGAUGGACCCGCGGCGCAUUAGCUAGUUGGUGGGGUAAUGGCUCACCAAGGCGACGAUGCGUAGCCGACCUGAGAGGGUGAUCGGCCACACUGGGACUGAGACACGGCCCAGACUCCUACGGGAGGCAGCAGUAGGGAAUCUUCCGCAAUGGACGAAAGUCUGACGGAGCAACGCCGCGUGAGUGAUGAAGGUUUUCGGAUCGUAAAGCUCUGUUGUUAGGGAAGAACAAGUGCGAGAGUAACUGCUCGCACCUUGACGGUACCUAACCAGAAAGCCACGGCUAACUACGUGCCAGCAGCCGCGGUAAUACGUAGGUGGCAAGCGUUGUCCGGAAUUAUUGGGCGUAAAGGGCUCGCAGGCGGUUUCUUAAGUCUGAUGUGAAAGCCCCCGGCUCAACCGGGGAGGGUCAUUGGAAACUGGGAAACUUGAGUGCAGAAGAGGAGAGUGGAAUUCCACGUGUAGCGGUGAAAUGCGUAGAGAUGUGGAGGAACACCAGUGGCGAAGGCGACUCUCUGGUCUGUAACUGACGCUGAGGAGCGAAAGCGUGGGGAGCGAACAGGAUUAGAUACCCUGGUAGUCCACGCCGUAAACGAUGAGUGCUAAGUGUUAGGGGGUUUCCGCCCCUUAGUGCUGCAGCUAACGCAUUAAGCACUCCGCCUGGGGAGUACGGUCGCAAGACUGAAACUCAAAGGAAUUGACGGGGGCCCGCACAAGCGGUGGAGCAUGUGGUUUAAUUCGAAGCAACGCGAAGAACCUUACCAGGUCUUGACAUCCUCUGACAACCCUAGAGAUAGGGCUUUCCCUUCGGGGACAGAGUGACAGGUGGUGCAUGGUUGUCGUCAGCUCGUGUCGUGAGAUGUUGGGUUAAGUCCCGCAACGAGCGCAACCCUUGAUCUUAGUUGCCAGCAUUCAGUUGGGCACUCUAAGGUGACUGCCGGUGACAAACCGGAGGAAGGUGGGGAUGACGUCAAAUCAUCAUGCCCCUUAUGACCUGGGCUACACACGUGCUACAAUGGACAGAACAAAGGGCUGCAAGACCGCAAGGUUUAGCCAAUCCCAUAAAUCUGUUCUCAGUUCGGAUCGCAGUCUGCAACUCGACUGCGUGAAGCUGGAAUCGCUAGUAAUCGCGGAUCAGCAUGCCGCGGUGAAUACGUUCCCGGGCCUUGUACACACCGCCCGUCACACCACGAGAGUUUGCAACACCCGAAGUCGGUGAGGUAACCUUUAUGGAGCCAGCCGCCGAAGGUGGGGCAGAUGAUUGGGGUGAAGUCGUAACAAGGUAGCCGUAAAGGGCGAUCC
rnacentral:rRNA from 1 species